UGGUGGUAAGGCAGGCGACAAUGGGAAAGUUACUUCAGGUUCCGGAAAUGAUGGUGCCACACAAAGUGAUGAAAGCAGAAGUGAAGGUACAUCAGAUACAAAUGAUGAAAAUGAUAACAAUGAAUUUGCUGCAAACAAGAAGGGAAGCUUUGAUCAAAUGCUUGCAGAUGGAGCCAGUGCACAGAAUAAUCCUGCGAAAGAGAAUCACCCGACUUCUAUACAUGGAAAUCCUGUCACCAUGCCUGCAACUAACCUAAAUAUUG
rnacentral:misc_RNA from 1 species